CUACCACUCAACUCCACCUUCAGACAGCAUCCUGAAAGCGCAGAUUGCAAACCAGACUUUACAAGCCAACAUUAAACUCCUCCGACUCGUAGACUUUCGUUCUGGAGAAGAGAGGUCACCAAGAUGCUAAUCUCCAUAGCGACCAUCCUUUCAGUCACCAUCCUUCUGGGUAAUUCUACCAAGCCCCAAUCUGCUUUUACCAGGCCAGAGUCCACAGAUGGUAAUGGCUGUGAGUCACAGGUGUGUCCAAUGUGUUGCCAAGGACCUGCUGCAACCCCUGGCACACCAGGUUUGCCGGGUAGCCCAGUCCUUCAUGGCCCCACAGGGUCA